rnacentral:lncRNA from 1 species
AUGGGGAAGUACAGUGUGGGUCUCGUGGUUUUAGGGUUGCUGGCCCUUGCGUUUUCGACCACUGUGCUGGCUGAAACACAUGUUGUUGGUGACUCCAACGGUUGGGACUUCUCUGUGUCGUUUGAUAGCUGGGCUGAUGGAAAGGUCUUCGCUGCUGGUGACACUCUUGUUAAACUUCCCUUUCUGUAAAAAACAAAAAUAUAUCACUCAUCGUCCUGACUACACUGCCGUCUGCUCUCUGCACAUAUAUAUAUAUAUAUGCAUGCAGUUUUCAACUACAAACCGGGCGCACACAACGUGCUGGCCGUGGACGCGGCGACGUACAGGAGCUGCAAGGUGGGCAGCUCGGCGGACUCGGUGGCGGCGGCGACGGGGACCGCGUCGUUCCUCCUCAAGAAGGGCGUCAACUACUACAUCUGCGGCGUCCCCGGCCACUGCGCCGCCGGGAUGAAGCUCCGGGUCGUCGCCAACUGA